ensembl:lncRNA
CUUAGUCACAUAUUUGAAAUAAUCUGAGGAAACAAAGUCACUUGUGAAGGCCAACAUCAGUGUAUGAAUCUAAUAUAUAUGAAUUUAACUGUACUGUACAUGCUCUGCAUUAUGUUUAGCUGUGUGGAACUUUGACCUAUUAAAAGGGAAGCCGUCAACCUUUCCGUCCAACGACGGCACUUUCAAGCAUGGCACAAGUCUCACUCAGGAAGACCAGUGACUAAUAGGCAACUAAAAGGGCCGUUGAUGUUGAAUAGAUGAACAAAAAGAGAAUAUGCUGUCAAGAAUAGCCCCAGCUCGACACCAUCCUAUAGAGGGCGACCUGUGAUCAGAUGCUAUAUUCUCACUGCAUGUGGCUGCCGUCCUAUUGAAGUAUAAUUUCCAUUUACAGAAGGGUUUUAAUCACCUCAAUUCUUUCAAUGUAAACUACUGUGGAAUGUAGUUUAAUGUGAUUAAGUAAAAGCGUUUAGUACUUACAUCUAAACUGCAUGUAUUAUGAUAUCUUUCAUCACUUUCAUCCCUUUAACUUGGUCAAUUUUAUUACAAUGUAUUUGUAAUGCUAAAAAUACUUGCUAUGAUUGCUUUUUUCAUAUGUAUAAAUAUGUUGUUUGUUCGGAUGAUGCACUUCUUUGAAGCAAUUGCACACACCAAUUGGGAUUAAUUAAGUAAAUGUAACUCUACUCAGCAUCAACUUCC